rnacentral:rRNA from 1 species
GGAUUAGAUACCCUGGUAGUCCACGCCGUAAACGAUGGAUGCUAGCUGUCGGGCCUAAGGCUCGGUGGCGACGCUAACGCAUUAAGCAUCCCGCCUGGGGAGUACGGUCGCAAGAUUAAAACUCAAAGGAAUUGACGGGGACCCGCACAAGCGGUGGAGCAUGUGGUUUAAUUCGAGGCAACGCGAAGAACCUUACCAGGACUUGACAUGCCGGUCGCGGAUCGCAGAGAUGCUUUCCUUCAGUUUGGCUGGACCGUGCACAGGUGCUGCACGGCUGUCGUCAGCUCGUGCCG